ACAAAAUCAGGAGUAUAUUUACGUAAAAAAUCAUUGACCCAUGAUAUAUCUUUAAGAUGAUUUUGACGAUGUUUUGAAUUUAGUUUUCUCAUAUUUUGCCAAACAGUGGAAAUUGGUGUUAAUCUAUUAAAUUUGGAACAAAAUUCCUGCCACCCCUGUUGUCUUACUUGCUUAAUUACUAACUUUUUAACAGCUUGAACUCUUUUAAAACUUAUGUAAUUAUCGAGAGUUGGAUUUUGUUUAAACCUAAGGUAAGCCGCUUUACUAUCAUUGACAGCUGUCGCACACCUGUUAUUCCACCAAGGUACUGCAAUAUGUUUGUGCCUCUUUGAAGUAUUUGCACCGCUAUUUGAUAAGUUCCUAUGUGGAACGGAACGUUCCACAGCUGUCAAAAUAAUUUUACAGAAUCUAUUGUAAUUGUUUAAGGGUUCAUUGACAUCAUACUCGAAAUCCAAAAGUAAUCGAUUAACAGUUUCAGAAUAAAGAUCCCAAUUAACGAGACAUGCUGCAACGCUCAGAAUUCUUACAGAAUUUAGCUAAAUGUCCAUACCUCAAGCACCGGUAGCAUUGUUUAACUGGUGGUAUAUAUGGAGUGACAUUGUGGCGCCAACCUCCAAUAUCCAGAUAUUCAGGUAAUACAGAUGCAGCAAAAGUAAUUGUCACGGUUAGAGUUGGCUGUAACACAUAUCCAUGAGUCAAGAUUCUGAGUCAGUAGAAGUAUCUUCCGAAUAUAUAUCCUUGUCAUUACAAGGUUCAUGGUCUACAUCACCUGAAUCGUCAUCUUUUUUUUUCCUUUUUCUACAACUGCGCUUCCCCAUGAAUGCUAAUUAUAUUACUGUCGCUGAAUUUAGUGAAAAUAUAAUAUUUUAUUCAAUAAUAAGAAUUGAUAGAGAUAGUUUUAUUAAAUUAAUAAAAAAAAUUUAAAAAACCCGCUUGUUCUUAUUCGAGUUUCCCGCCUUUUCUCCUUUUUUAUUGUAUCAUCUCAAUGAGAUCAGUUGUCAUUCCUGCCUUUUAAUUUCCACCUGUCAUCCCUCACUAGUGCCGCGUCAUUGCAUAUCGUAAUCGUGGGCGGGGUUGCCAUUCCAUUAUGAUCCAUUAAAAAAAUAUAUUGUUAGGUAUUCCUAUUUUUUUAAUAAUUAAAGAAAUAAAAUAUAAUAUUAUU